UACGUAGGGAGCGAGCGUUGUCCUGAAUCAUUGGGCGUAAAGAGCACGUAGGUGGAUUAAUCAGUCUGUCGUGAAAGUCAACGGCUCAACCGUUGAAGGCCGGUGGAUACUGUUGAUCUAGAGUACGGAAGAGGCGAGUGGAAUUCCUGGUGUAGCGGUGGAAUGCGCAGAUAUCAGGAGGAACACCAAUAGCGAAGGCAGCUCGCUGGGACGUUACUGACACUGAGGUGCGAAAGCGUGGGGAGCAAACAGGA
rnacentral:rRNA from 1 species